GUCACUGCAGAUGAACCUGCUGUGUUUGUAGGUAUACAGAAUACUCAUUUUUAAAAAACUGAUUAUCUCUAAUUGCUCCAUGACAAGAUGCCUUGAGCCCAGGAGCUGCAGAGGGAGUGGCCCCAGAUCUGCCAUUAUGGUUGAUGAUUUGAUCAGUCUAAAUCUUCAGCAAGUCCUCCAUCUCUGGAACUUUAAUACUGAUGAGUGAAGCCCCUACAGCAGGCAGGAAGCAAAAUGACAAGGUUCCUUCUUGGAGAAAUGUCUGACAAGAUUCCUUCUUGGAGAAAUGUCAUCUAAUGGCUCUUGUAGUCCAAGUGAUGUGCCACCUCUGGAGAACAGAGUCCUCUGACAGUUAUUUCUGAGUCAUCCUGGUGUAUUUGAAACAGUUGGUUCUCUCGCUUAGACACUUAUAAACAUGUGCAGAUAAUGUUUUAACUGGCACAUUGUCACCAGCUGCAUUAAAUCAGGCAAAGCUGAGUAGCUGUGAAAACUGUGACAUCCAAUUCAAGUAAGAAUUAGAGUACAGUACUAGAAGCAGAAAUAGACCCCUUCAUAGUAGGUGUUAUUUUUAUUCUUUUAAAUAUGUUGCUAUUGUGUUCAUUGACAAACAGUUAUGUUUAUGUUUUUAUUUCCUUUAUC